CGGGGAGUAGUUAAGUUGGCUAUAACGCUUGGUUUGGGACCAAGAGGGCGGAGGUUCGAGUCCUCUCUCCCCGACCA
rnacentral:tRNA from 1 species